rnacentral:rRNA from 1 species
AACGAACGCUGGCGGCAUGCCUAACACAUGCAAGUCGAACGAGACCUUCGGGUCUAGUGGCGCACGGGUGCGUAACGCGUGGUAACCUGCCCUUAGGUUCGGAAUAACUCCCCGAAAGGGGUGCUAAUACCGGAUAAUGUCUUCGGACCAAAGAUUUCUCGCCUUUGGAUGGGCCCGCGUUGGAUUAGCUAGUUGGUAGGGUAAAAGCCUACCAAGGCGACGAUCCAUAGCUGGUCUGAGAGGAUGAGCAGCCACACUGGGACUGAGACACGGCCCAGACUCCUACGGGAGGCAGCAGUGGGGAAUAGUGGACAAUGGGGGAAAGCCUGAUCCAGCAAUGCCGCGUGAGUGAUGAAGGCCUGAGGGUUGUAAAGCUCUUUUACCCGGGAUGAGAAUGACAGUACCGGGAGAAUAAGCGCCGGCUAACUCCGUG